CUACGGGACGCACCAGUGGGGAAUAUUGGACAAUGGGGGCAACCCUGAUCCAGCAAUGCCGCGUGUGUGAAGAAGGCCUGCGGGUUGUAAAGCACUUUCAGUAGGGAGGAAUAGUUCGUUGCUAAUAUCAACGAGCAAUGACGUUACCUAAAGAAGAAGCACCGGCUAACUCUGUGCCAGCAGCCGCGGUAAUACAGAGGGUGCAAGCGUUAAUCGGAAUUACUGGGCGUAAAGCGCACGUAGGUGGAUAAGUAGGUUGGAUGUGAAAGCCCUGGGCUUAACCUGGGAAUGCCAUUCAAAACCACUUGUCUAGAGUAUAGUAGAGGAAAGUGGAAUUUCCGGUGUAGCGGUGAAAUGCGUAGAUAUCGGAAGGAACACCAGUGGCGAAGGCGACUUUCUGGACUAAUACUGACACUGAGGUGCGAAAGCGUGGGGAGCAAACAGGAUUAGAUACCCCAGUAGUC
rnacentral:rRNA from 1 species